UUCGCAAUGCCCGAAAGGGUGACGAAGCGACGCCGCGUGAGCGAAGAAGGCCUUAGGGUUGUAAAGCUCUGUCAGGGGUUAUGAAAUGUAAAUGGGCUAAUACCUCAUUUAUUUGACAAAGGCCCCAAAGGAAGCCACGGCUAACUCUGUGCCAGCAGCCGCGGUAAUACAGAGGUGGCAAGCGUUGUUCGGUAUUAUUGGGCGUAAAGAGCACGUAGGUUGUUUUGUAAGUCAGGUGUGAAAGCCUUCUGUUCAAAGGAAGAACGGCAUCUGAAACUGCAGAUCUUGAGUAUAGGAGGGGAGAGUGGAACUUCUGGUGGAGCGGUGAAAUGCGUAGAUAUCAGAAGGAACGUCGGCGGCGAAAGCGACUCUCUGGCCUAUUACUGACACUGAGGUGCGAAAGUUAGGGGAGCAAACGGGAUUAGAUACCCCGGUAGUCCUAACCGUAAACGAUGGGCACUAAGUAGAGGGGUUUU
rnacentral:rRNA from 1 species